rnacentral:rRNA from 1 species
AGGACGAACGCUGGCGGCGUGCCUAACACAUGCAAGUCGAACGAGGUCCAACCGGUAGCAAUACUGGUGAAGAUCAAGUGGCGAACGGGUGAGUAGCACGUGAGCAACCUGCCCCGAAGACCGGGACAACACCGGGAAACCGGUGCUAAUACCGGAUACCCCCACCGAAUCGCAUGGUUUGGUGAGGAAAUGGAUUCCGCUUCGGGAGGGGCUCGCGGCCUAUCAGCUUGUUGGUGAGGUAACGGCUCACCAAGGCUUCGACGGGUAGCUGGUCUGAGAGGACGAUCAGCCACACUGGGACUGAGACACGGCCCAGACUCCUACGGGAGGCAGCAGUGGGGAAUCUUGCACAAUGGGCGAAAGCCUGAUGCAGCAACGCCGCGUGAGGGACGAAGGCUUUCUGAGUUGUAAACCUCUUUCAGCAGGGACGAUUGUGACGGUACCUGCAGAAGAAGCCCCGGCAACUACGUGCCAGCAGCCGCGGU